rnacentral:rRNA from 1 species
UACAGAGGGGGCAAGCGUUAUUCGGAAUUAUUGGGCGUAAAAGGGCGCGUAGGCGGCCUGACAAGUGGAAGGUGAAAUCCCUCGGCUUAACCGAGGAACUGCCCUCCAAACUGUUUGGCUUGAGACCGGGAGAGGUGAGUGGAAUUCCCAGUGUAGCGGUGAAAUGCGUAGAUAUUGGGAGGAACACCAGUGGCGAAGGCGGCUCACUGGACCGGUACUGACGCUGAGGCGCGAAAGCGUGGGGAGCAAACGGG